rnacentral:misc_RNA from 1 species
UUAUGUGCAUGGAGAUAGUUAAAGGCCCAGAAAUUUGUGGGAAGCUUACCUUCCCAGUGUCACUGAAGCAGCCAGGACCACGCGAUGGAUCUGUACAGUGCUUCAUUAAGAGGGAUAAAUCCAACCUAACAUACCACCUCUACUUGUGUCUUAGCCCUGCUCUGCUGGUUGAAAAUGGGAAAUUUCUUCUCUCUGCAAAGCGUACACG